rnacentral:rRNA from 1 species
AGUGAACGCUGGCGGCGUGCCUAACACAUGCAAGUCGAACGAUGAUGGAGGAGCUUGCUCUUCCUGAUUAGUGGCGCACGGGUGAGUAUACCAUAGAUAAUGUACCUCUUAGUUUGGGAUAGCCACUGGAAACGGUGAUUAAUACCAGAUACUCCUUCUCAUUAUAAGAUGAGUCGGGAAAGUUUUUUCGCUAAGAGAUCAGUCUAUGUCCUAUCAGCUUGUUGGUGAGGUAAUGGCUCACCAAGGCUAUGACGGGUAUCUGGUUUGAGAGGAUGAUCAGACACACUGGAACUGAGACACGGUCCAGACUCCUACGGGAGGCAG